UUUCGCAAUGCCCGAAAGGGUGAACGAGCGACACCGCGUGCGGGAUGAAGGGUUUCGGCCUGUAAACCGCUUUUGUUUGGGAAGAAUGCCCAGGUCGUGAACUUGGGAGUGACGGUACCAGACGAAUAAGCCCCGGCUAACUCCGUGCCAGCAGCCGCGGUAAGACGGGGGGGGCAAACGUUGUUCGGAAUCACUGGGCAUAAAGAGCACGUAGGCGGUCGUGCAAGUCCACUGUGAAAUCCCCCGGCCUAAUCGGGGAACUGCAGUGGAUACUACACGACUAGAGUGCAGGAGGGGAGAGUGGAAUUCCAGGUGGAGCGGUGAAAUGCGUAGAUAUCUGGAGGAACGCCGGUGGCGAAAGCGACUCUCUGGCCUGUUACUGACGCUGAGGUGCGAAAGCUAGGGGAGCAAACGGGAUUAGAUACCCCGGUAGUCCUAGCCCUAAACGAUGGGCACUAAGUAGAGGGGUUUUAAUCUC
rnacentral:rRNA from 1 species